CACCAGCCUGACGUCAGACUGGGCCACGUGGGCUUUCUAUAUAUUCUGGUGUUUCAACUGUUGAUCUUUCAUUAACUUUUUUCACUUAGUCCACAACAGAAGAAAAUACUGUGAAAGGUGUAUAUAUUUUAUAUAUGAGGACAAAUUCUGAAAAGUACACAUUUUUCAUUUUGCUUCAGCCUCCAAAAUGGCUCUACAGGGUAUUGCUAUUUGGCUAUGUUAGAAUGAUUGAAAAUAAAACCAGCGGACCAGUGGGGCUAAUGGAGGCAAUAAUAAUAACAAGCCAUGUUCCAAGCUAUAUAUGCAUAUGUGUGUGUGUAUAUAUAUGUAUAUUUCAGAUAUACCUGAAAUACACAUACAUCUGAAAUAUACAUAUAUCUAUAAAAUCAUGGUCAUGAAAACAAUAUUUUCCCUAAUUAUACAUUUACCACUCCAUUUACCAUCCUAUUCUAUAUACUUUUUUUUAAGUUAAUAAUCAUGAAAUUAUUUUCACAACUCACAGUUUCAAAGACACUGUUCCUGGUAAAGCAGUAAGGGUAACCACAAUGAGUACAACUAUCAAAUGGAGGAAACAGAAAAAAACAACCACCAAUCCAAAAGAAGGUGGGGGAAGGGAAAUCAAAAGAAGCUGGAAAAGAAGAAAGUAUAUAGAAAUCACAAAAUCAGAUAGUAAAACAAAUGCAAAUAUCAUUGUUGGUAAUAAAUAUAAAUAGACUGAACCUUCUGCUGUAUCUGCCAGGUUGGAUUUUUUUUUAAAGAACCCUGGGUAUGUGAUGUUUACAACAAGCAUUUCUAAAAUAUAAGUACACAGAAAGUUGGAAAGUCAGAGUAUGAAAGAGGAGAAACUAGAAAAAACUAACCAAAAGAAACCAGGUAUAACCACAUUAAUACCAGACAAAGUAAACUUCAAAGCCAAGAGCCAAUACUAGAGAAUUUAAAAGGCUACAUCAAAUGAUCAGAUCAUAAAGAAAAUCAAUUCUAUAUGGGUAUACGCAUUAAACAUAAAUGCAAAACAUCAAACAAAAAUUGAAUAUAAGAAAAAUUAAUAGAACUCCCAGAGAUCCUCAUCAUUGAAAAUUUAUACAUCUGCGUAGUGAUUGACUGACCAAGUAAGAUCAAGUACAUGAGGAAACAAUUGAAAUAUUUAAAGAUCAUAUCAAUAUGCUUGACCUACUAAGCAUUGAACUCAAAAAAAAUGAAUAUGCAUUACUUUCUUGCACAUAGGAAACAUUUUUUAAAAUUCACUCUGUGCCAGGCCAUUAAUGCAAACCUCAAUCAGUUCAGUUCAGUUCAGUUCAGUUCAGUCACUCAGGCCUAUCCGACUCUGCGACCCCAUGAAUUGCAGCACACCAGGCCUCCCUGUCCGUCACCAACU
rnacentral:lncRNA from 1 species